rnacentral:rRNA from 1 species
UGGGGAAUAUUGCACAAUGGGCGCAAGCCUGAUGCAGCCAUGCCGCGUGUAUGAAGAAGGCCUUCGGGUUGUAAAGUACUUUCAGUCGGGAGGAAGGUGGUAAGGUUAAUAACCUUAUCAAUUGACGUUACCGACAGAAGAAGCACCGGCUAACUCCGUGCCAGCAGCCGCGGUAAUACGGAGGGUGCAAGCGUUAAUCGGAAUUACUGGGCGUAAAGCGCACGCAGGCGGUUGAUUGAGUCAGAUGUGAAAUCCCCGGGCUUAACCCGGGAAUUGCAUCUGAUACUGGUCAGCUAGAGUCUUGUAGAGGGGGGUAGAAUUCCAUGUGUAGCGGUGAAAUGCGUAGAGAUGUGGAGGAAUACCAGUGGCGAAGGCGGCCCCCUGGACAAAGACUGACGCUCAGGUGCGAAAGCGUGGGGAGCAAACAGG